AUAAUGGGUCAGCGACUUAUAUUCUGUAGCAAGGUUAACCGAAUAGGGGAGCCGAAGGGAAACCGAGUCUUAACUGGGCGUUAAGUUGCAGGGUAUAGACCCGAAACCCGGUGAUCUAGCCAUGGGCAGGUUGAAGGUUGGGUAACACUAACUGGAGGACCGAACCGACUAAUGUUGAAAAAUUAGCGGAUGACUUGUGGCUGGGGGUGAAAGGCCAAUCAAACCGGGAGAUAGCUGGUUCUCCCCGAAAGCUAUUUAGGUAGCGCCUCGUGAAUUCAUCUCCGGGGGUAGAGCACUGUUUCGGCAAGGGGGUCAUCCCGACUUACCAACCCGAUGCAAACUGCGAAUACCGGAGAAUGUUAUCACGGGAGACACACGGCGGGUGCUAACGUCCGUCGUGAAGAGGGAAACAACCCAGACCGCCAGCUAAGGUCCCAAAGUCAUGGUUAAGUGGGAAACGAUGUGGGAAGGCCCAGACAGCCAGGAUGUUGGCUUAGAAGCAGCCAUCAUUUAAAGAAAGCGUAAUAGCUCACUGGUCGAGUCGGCCUGCGCGGAAGAUGUAACGGGGCUAAACCAUGCACCGAAGCUGCGGCAGCGACGCUGAUGCGUUGUUGGGUAGGGGAGCGUUCUGUAAGCCUGCGAAGGUGUGCUGUGAGGCAUGCUGGAGGUAUCAGAAGUGCGAAUGC
rnacentral:rRNA from 1 species